rnacentral:rRNA from 1 species
AUGAGUGCCCUAUGCUUGAACUGUCGCGAUGUGGGCAACCCCGCGACAGUCCAAGAACUUCGCGAAUUCGCGAGAAAAUUUGCCCCUACCCUUUUGUGCAUUGUUGAAACAUAAAUAGAAGGUUCUAGGAGAGCUUUAGCAAGUGCGUUUGGUUAUGAUAGAGCUUAUGCAGUUGAUAGUCAAGGUAGAAGUGGUGGAAUGGGAAUUUUUUGGAAUAAUGAAAUUGAAGGAAAUAUGCCCUAG